rnacentral:tRNA from 4 species
GGAAAGGUGCAGGAGUGGUUGAACUGGAACGCCUGGAAAGCGUUUGUACGGCGCAAACCGUACCGAGGGUUCGAAUCCCUCCCUUUCCG